UUAACUAAGCCAUAUCACCCUGCAACUCACAACUGGCAGCCCACUGAAGCUAAGCAGGUGUGAGCCUGGUCAGUACCUGGAUGGGAGACCUCCUGGGAAAAAUUAAGGUGCUGCUGGAA
rnacentral:rRNA from 1 species